rnacentral:misc_RNA from 1 species
GAGAAUGAAAUUCUUCCUAAUCGCCAUGGGAGCAAGCUUUAUAUACUACGCUUUUCCAGGUUACUUGCUUCAAAUCUUAUCAUUCUUCUCGUGGGUUUGUUGGGUUUGGCCCCGCAGCAUCACGGCUCAGCAAAUCGGGUCAAGUCAAAGUGGGCUUGGGCUCGGUGCUUUCAGCUUCGAUUGGGCCGGGAUUUCAGCCUACCAUGGAAGCCCACUGGUUUCGCCAUGGUUCUCAAUUCUAAAUGUUGGAGUUGGGUUUGUGAUGUUCAUUUAUAUCAUCGUCCCUGUUUGCUACUGGAAGUUCAACACCUUCGAUGCCCGCAAAUUCCCCAUUUUUUCUAAUCAGCUCUUCACCAGAACCGGCCAGAAAUAUGAUACCACCAAGGUUUUGACGCCGGAUUUUGAACUCAAUGUCGCUGCUUACAAUAGCUAUGGAAAGCUUUAUCUUAGCCCCCUUUUUGCCCUCUCCAUUGGAUCUGGUUUUGCCAGGUUUACUGCUACUCUCACCCAUGUCGCCUUGUUCCAUGGACGGGACAUAUGGAAGCAAA